AUUAGUGUGGCGAUCAAUUCCAUUUCAUAUUUUGUUAACGCCCGUCUCAGGAAACAUCUCAUUUACUUCAUUUUAACAUGGCAAACGUCCCAGCCGAUGCUGAAGGAGAAGAACGGCCUCUUCUUCCAAAUGAACGAACAUAUUUGGGCUUCCGGUCUCAAAGACAGGCUCAUAAUCUCAAUGGAUGUUACCGAUUUUUAUUGAAAAUUGUCAAAAUCACCUUCUGUUCACUCGGAUUAUGGAGUCACCAGGCUUGGAACUACAUUCUACGAGCACUAGUUAGUCUACUUUGUUUUUAUCAAGCUGUUUACGAUUUCUAUGUCGUGUUAGGUUGCCACGGUUUUGAUUGCAGUUUCUUACAAAAUUCAACGGAUUCUAAGAAGCCCUCUCAUCACAAGGAUGAUCGUCAUGUUGCAAAUGCUGUUUAUACGAUAGUUUCAUUGGCAGCAGUGGUUUCUUAUCUCCUCUUUAUACGUUGUUUCAUCGUGGCAAAGCACAAAAACUCAUCUAUGGUCGCACCGUCUGAAUCAUUGAUGGAUGACCUAAGCAGAACGGAUUGUUGGUGGUUGUGUCUUACUUUCGCUUUAAUAACAAUGUUAUUUCUAAGCUCGGUGGCUGUGUUUUACGUUAUCAUAUGGAUUAGUCAGCCAAAAGAUAAUUAUUUCAUCUUCCUUGCCACCGGAGUAGGAGCUCAGUUUUUCGCGCAGUGGACAGCAAUAACAACUUGUCACGUGUUUGCCGUUAGUUCCUUUUCAAUAGGCACUUUCGCAGAACACACACUUAGUCGGAUUCAAGAGUUUGAGGCAGAACAUACAACCCUCGAGGAGAUCAUAAUCAUACACGAGGAGCUGCGUACAAUUGUCCUCAACACAGUGUCAUCCUGUAGUGUCUGGUUUAUGGUGCACUGGUUGAGUUAUGGUGUUGGGGUUGUUAUAUCGCUAGUCUAUAUGUCCAAAGAAUUAAUUUCCAAAGGCCAGAACGACAGUCCUACGAUGAACAAGGUGUACUUUGUUUUAUUCUUCGUUUGCCAAGUCUAUUUAUUCCUACUUCCCUGCAUCCUUGCGGCGGGAAUCACGAGUAGGUGUCGAGGUACGAUGUUUCUCUUAACCAGUGUCGACUCAAUAUUGCAAACACCCUUGCUUUCAAUGUAGCCAGCAACCGCUGGCGAAGUAAAGUUUUCCGGUUUGGGGUCGAACUUCUGACUCUAAGAGCUUCUCCAAGUCUGUGAAAAUGAGAGAUGUUUGGUCACGCAAACCACAUAACAAAUAUCAGUUUCAUAUAGGCCAAGGAGUCUACGAGAAAAUCAAUUCCACCACAUCUAAGGACUGGACUGAAGGCCACCCAUUCCAGGAUCGUCGAAACAUCGCUCUUUUCAUUUCCUACGCCAAGGACAGCGGCUGUGGAUUCAAAAUCGGUAGAAUCACCUUCAGCACCUCUCUGGCUUGGCUUUCCUUUUUCUUUGGUCUGACAGGUUUACUAUUUCACUUCCUCUAGGCUAACACGCCGAAAAGCCUGCUUCCGAGAGCACACGGGUCUUUCGCUUUAAAGGCAAUUUGAAGCAGCGUGGUCGAGUGGUCAGCGUAUCGGACUUGCAAUCCGUCGCUCCCGGG
rnacentral:misc_RNA from 1 species